rnacentral:rRNA from 1 species
CUACGGGCGGCUGCAGUGGGGAAUAUUGCACAAUGGGCGCAAGCCUGAUGCAGCAACGCCGCGUGAACGAUGAAGGCCUUCGGGUUGUAAAGUUCUUUUCUUAGGGAAGAAUAAAUGACGGUACCUAAGGAAUCAGCCCCGGCUAACUACGUGCCAGCAGCCGCGGUAAUACGUAGGGGGCAAGCGUUAUCCGGAAUCACUGGGCGUAAAGGGAGUGUAGGCGGUCAAGCAAGUCAGAGGUGAAAGGCAUCGGCUCAACCGAUGUAAGCCUUUGAAACUGUUUGGCUUGAGUGCAGGAGAGGUAAGUGGAAUUCCUAGUGUAGCGGUGAAAUGCGUAGAUAUUAGGAGGAACACCAGUGGCGAAGGCGACUUACUGGACUGUAACUGACGCUGAGGCUCGAAAGCGUGGGGAGCGAACAGGAUUAGAUACCCCCGUAGUC